CUAACAUGUAAACUUACUGAGCAGGGCCCUCAAUCCCUCUGUUACUGUGUCACUAUACCCCACUCCCUCUAGCAUGUAAACUCACUGAGCAGGGCCUCAAUCCCUCUGUUACUGUGUCACUAUACCCCACUCCCUGUAGCAUGUAAACUCACUGAGCAGGGCUCUCAAUCCCUCUGUUACUGUGUCACUAUACCCCACUCCCUCUAACAUGUAAACUCACUGAGCAGGCCCUCAAUCC
rnacentral:lncRNA from 1 species